GGUGACCUGCCCCCUCCCCUCCCUCCUUUCUCCCCAUCUCUCCCUCCAGCGCUGGGUCAUAAAUCCGUUGUUGUUUAUGAAAAUUUACAACAUAGCAAUGCAACUUUACGACCUGGCUCGCCUUCCUAUUGGCUGCAGCUCGUCACGUGACAGGGAGCCGUGAACAUGAACUUUUUUAUAUAUAAUUUCCAAUAGCGGAAUAGAGCAGCCUUUCAUUUAACGGUCUCGAGCGUCUCCGCGGCUGUUUUCACCAGCGAGCCUCCACAUUUUUGCACAUCCUCUACCUUUUGUGAAGAGUUUUUACUCGGUGAGUCAGAGGCUACAAGCUCAAGAGCUUGCCUUAAGGACAUGUCUGAAUCCUUAGGGUGCUCUGCUGUCGCUCUCCUGACACGUUUUAGCAGGAUGAGAGGGAACAGUCCCGGUGCCUCGGUGACCCCUCGGGAGCCUCAGCUUCCGUCCAGGGACGCAGCUGGAGACUUCCUCCACUCACCGGCUCUCUACACCUGCCAACUCUGUCCGCUCAGCCCCCCUGUCUGCAGGCACAGACCUCCACAAGGUAAGGGACCGUUUGAACUCUCUUUGUCAACUCGCAAAGCUUUGAGCGAAUGAUAGCCAGUUCUUUUAUUCUAAUACCACGCUUUGUUUGCUUACUGUAUACAUGGAGUGCGUUUAUUUGAUUAGGAUUUGAAUGUCAGUUGCUGCAGGGCUGAUUGAACCACUUUGAAUGAGAUAACAUUAAAGCUGUUGUUUCUGCUGCUGCUUUCCUUUGAUCUCUCUGUCGGCUCCUGCGCGCUUUCACCACUACAUUUGUUUGUUGUGGCAUUUAAAUGGAGACGGGCUUUCAGAUGCACACUUCAUUGGGUGGAUGUUGGUCAGUGCUUGGGCUCUUUGACGCCCUCCUGUGGAUACACUGUGGUGGUUGCUGUUGCAGCUCUGCUUGUUAUGCUGCACGUGGACCUCAGACAUGUCGACCUCUGUUUUGUACCUGUGCGUCCUGCAUGAAUCUAGGAUUUGUGUUAUAUAUAUAUGCGCGACCAGGCCCCGAUUUAUAUCCAUAAAGGCUGCUGAUAAACUGCAAGAUGGAUGUUUGGGGAAAAAAAGGGUUUUACUUUUGGAUGAUUCUUCUUUGGAGCGAAUUCAUAUCUCUAUGAGAGUAAUCCUAAUAUAUAUUUUUAUAAUUUUUAUUUGUUUCUGGUUUGAAAAAAUAAUUUUUACUGGAUUUUAAAGAGGAACAUUUUAUUUUUGGUGCUUUUAAUGUGUAUCGAUUGAGCCCAAAUGUUCUCUAUUAUGACACUGUCGUGGUUAUUAUUUCGUAUAGCGAAUUAAUUCGGCAAAACAACUGAAUACUGAAAAAUAAAAUUCAAGAAACACCAAAUAAAACAUAUUUUCGUGCAUUAGGAAUACAGUUAAAAUCCCACGUUUAGUAUCUGUGAGUUGAAACCCCCAACUUCGCUUUAAAAAAUAAAUCGUUGGACUUCAGUGUGUCUUGGUGGAAACGGUUUUAUAGCCUUUUGUGAUUUAAAUGUGUGUGUUGUUGUCAUCAGGUUGAAGAUUUUCUAUUCCUUAAGGAGUUUGGCUAUCUAGAAUGUUGAUAUUGUGGGUUUUCGUCGAGUAUCUGCUGUGCGUAAUGGUACAAUAAUAUCAUUACGCACGAGAUUGUGGUCGUGAGUUCUGCUGGUGUGUGUUUGUGCCUGCAGAGUGCACUGCCCUCCCGUUUCCUGCAGCAGUGGCCCCUUCGCUCCCGACCCAACAUGUUUGACACUCUCUUCUAUCCUUUCUUUCGCUCCUUAUUUAGUUCCUGGGUGUGUCCCUGGCUCAACGCCGGGAAAUACUUUUCGUGGGAACUUUGUUGCCAUUGGUCAGCCAUAAAUCAGCUGUUGGGGCAUGACUGUUUAGCCAACACACACUUGGUAUGGGUCUCCACUCAUUACGGGCCCAGUGGAUGUGGAAGCUUGGUCCUUAUCGUGCCUUCUGGGGUUGUUUUACCGCUCAGAGCGCACAUACCUUGAAGAGAAUAAAUCUUUAAAGUAUUGCGCUUUUCAGAAACACGUGAAACAUGUGCUGGUUUGAGGGGCUGCGUUAGGGGCAAAGGGUUCGAUGUGGGAAGCAGAGGACAUAUCGCUGCCUCUAAGGAACGAAGGUGCCAUAAAAAUUCCAGAAGGAGAAAAGCAAACGGAAUGCGCGAGACGGGGUGUCAUUUCUCUUUUUAGACAUUGUUUGUGUCAAGGUGGAUGUGGAUUUUCCUGUUUUUGUAUUCCUGCUCUGAAUUAGCAGGAAAAGGUGGUUUUACGCGUUUACAUAAACAAACAGACCAGUUUAGGAUGGAAGCAUCUUUACAAAAAAAAUAUGAGGAUCCCUAUAAGGUCAAACUAAAAUCCUAUGACCGGUUAUCACCAUCUCUGUUGUUAUCUUUCGACCGAUUUGACAUUCAUGUUGUAGAGCCAGUUUUACAAAAAAGGUGCCUUCUUUAUCUUUUGGUGCAAGAAUGGGGAUAGAAAUUAAAGACAAUUUUAGCCUAAUUUUAUAUUCAAACAGCCAAGCAACAAAGUGCAGAUUACAAACUAUUUUCUGAGUAUUGUGUUUGUUUUAUGCCUUAAAAGUUGCAAAUGGUUGUCUUACAAUUUCGCUGUUCGCUUUCCAUCUCGAUCAUUUCCAGGCCCAACUUUAUUCGAAAUUCUAUUUGCUUUUUAAAAAUGGUGUGUGUAAUUUUGCUAACACAAAGAACGCUAUGUCUGUUUUUGACAGUUAACGUUCAUCAGAACUAGAACAGCUGC
rnacentral:lncRNA from 1 species